rnacentral:tRNA from 1 species
GCCCUUGUAGCUCAGCAGGAUAGAGCGACGGUUUCCUAAACCGUAGGCCGCAGGUUCGAGUCCUGCCAGGGGUACAA